UAUUAGAAAAAAAAUAUAAAAUAUAUAUAUAUAUAUAUAUAUAUAUGCAAUAAUGUAAAAUUAGCUUUUUGUACACAAGCAUUUGUUUAAUCCCACUUUUCCAUGUUUUCAUCUAACUCUCUAUAAUGUUUUGCAGACAAGUAAGCUACAAGCUUAAAAAAUUUCUUCCGCACAAGUGUUUAAAAUAAAAGUGAACUUCAGAUCAUUAUAAGCGAGCUAUAAGCUGCAAACAGCUAAUAGCUUCAUCAAAACUGAUCGUUACAAUUAUCAUCACUUCAGCUCAAUAUUUUAGUGCUGUCAUAGUUCUUCUGUACCUGCUCUUAGGUAUACUUGUUUACCUUCACUAGCUGCUGCUCCUGUUUCAAAUCAAACAAUUUGAGAGGAAUGCUGCCAAUUUCUGAUUUUUCACCAUCAUUUGUUAUCAGAGUAUUCCUUCCAAGCUUAAAGAAUUCUAGUUUUUCGUGUGUGUUAGAUGCAGCAUCAAUGAAU